GGCCUGGCGGCCUUCGGUGGCGGCACAGCCCGGCCCGGCCCGGCCCGGCCCAGGGGCAGGCCGCUGCCGUGGUAUUUCCCAGCUCCUGGGCGCUGCUUGAGGUUAGGAGAAGGGAGAAAGAAGCAAUUCGUUUCGUAAAUGUGGGUCAGCGUUUUCUUUAUCCAGUCAGCUUGACCUACUUAGUUUCUGAAUGUGGAGUAAUGAAAUUGUGACGAUAACUUACAGCUUCCUGCUGGAGUUUGUCAGGCAUCUUUAAUCUAAAGAAAGAACUACAGAGAAGAACUGCAUGUUUACUAGACUAUUAACACAAGAAAAACGCUUUAUAACUGACUGCUUCACCCUUUCCCUGAACUUCCUAUGCAGAGCUUAUGGUGAUUGAUUUUAAAGGAGGAGUAGCUUGAUGAUGCCAUUAAGAAUCAGAGAAGAAAUCAAAGACUGGAAGGUGAAAUUUGAAUGAAAAUUGACUUCUCAUGGGUUCCAAUCUGAAGAAAUUACCAUACAACAGGAUUCACUAGAUUUUUGGAAGAGCUCAAUGUUCUUUAGGCUCUCAAAUGAAGGAGUCAUUUUUUCAUGAGCACUCUUUGUGUACAGAGUGCUGGGUGCCUGUUGUAUGGUUUAUUCAAGAAACUUUAACAUAUACAGCUUCUUCUCCACUGUUUGCAGCCUCCUGGCAAAAGAGUCAGUGUUUGUCUCAAAAAAUUCAAAGGCAGUGCUGUACCUGGUCUCUUCUUUAAUGGUGGACAUCAGCCUCAGAGGCACCACACGGCAGAAAGCCUCAGCGUUUCUCAUCGCCAAGUUAAGCUGUGGGCAGAGGCUGUGGGCACAGACGCAGGGGGGUGAAUUCACCCGUUGUGCAGGAAGCAGUUAAUCUCACCACCGCAGUCUGGUAGGGAUUGACUAGCGUUUUUUCAGAGGGUAAGGAAAUGCCGUGACUUAAGAGAUAACUUCAGUCAGGGUUUUUUUUAAGCAUAGUGUUAAUAGGUGAAACACUGAAAUAUUCCUGGAGAAAGCUGAUUUGCAUCCAAAGUGCUUUAUAAAACGAGCUUUUAAAAGAAACCCCAGUAAGUAAAUGCAAAUAUUGUUCUUAGCAUAUAUUAAAUGUUCUCAGCAAGUACUACAGCUCUGCUACCCAUUAGUACAGUGCGCUCCCAGCUCCCUAAGUGUGCUCACCGCAGGUAGCUGAGCUUAUAAAAGGGCAGCGUGGCUUGCCGGGCGAUGCAGGCAGCCGCAGAGCAGCCGCAGCACCGGCAGGGCAGGUUCAGCAGGGCGGGGCGGCAGCGCGGGGCCGUCCCGGCUGCGGGGGACACCUGGCGGCGGGGAGCGGCAGCGGGCGGGAGCGGGGCUGGCCCGGGCCGCGGGAGAGAAGUCGGGAAGGGCCGGGGAGGGUUCUUGCUGAAGAAGAUCCUGAGGGAGUCUGGGUCGCAACUGGUCUGGUCAUUCAGUUUUCCUUCAAAGCAGGAGUUGCAGCUCUUGUUCAACGUGAAUGAGGGCAUGGAGGGAAGAUGCAGCAGUUGCGGCUGGGGCUGAGCUGCGGGAAGGCAGCUCUUCUGGGAACAAAAAGGGGCUCAUGGAAAUAAGCGGCUGGAGCACAGCAGUGAUGUGAACCUGGCAGCACAGAAAUCAGAGACAAGUACUGCCUGCCACACUCUCUGCACACUUACACCUCUCCUGAUUCUUUCUCUUUCCACUGACAUUUCCCAGACUAGUUUAUAAAGGAAGGAACCCUCCAGGAAGGACACCGUCUAUACCGUCUUUGAAAUGGGAAAAUACACUGUCCCUUUCACUCAAAAUGUUCUGGGUUUUUCCUGAGGAUCCUUGUCAAGACAAUAAUAAGGCUAUUCCUGUGAUCUUGCUUUAGUACAGAGACAGUCGGCUGCCUGACUGGACUAGUGAUUUUGAGUAGAAAUGAUAACAUUAAAAAAUACCGUCUUAACCAAAAAAAUAAUGCUCAGUAAGUCAUCCAGACACUAACUAAUGAAUUUAAUAUUUGCCAGUGCUUUUAGAGUAAAUGUUGACACCUUAAAUUUUGUUCUAAUAAGCCUGCAUGAACCUAUGCUUAAAUUUAUGACUGUGAACUGUAUUUCUUGAUUUAAAAUAUAUAUUAAAGGAACAGUUAAGCACAAAAAUGGAAAA